rnacentral:rRNA from 1 species
UACGGAGGAUGCAAGCGUUAUCCGGAAUGAUUGGGCGUAAAGCGUCCGCAGGUGGCAGUUCAAGUCUGCUGUCAAAGACCGGGGCUUAACUUCGGAAAGGCAGUGGAAACUGAACAGCUAGAGUAUGGUAGGGGCAGAGGGAAUUCCUGGUGUAGCGGUGAAAUGCGCAGAGUAUCAGGAGGAACACCGAUGGCGGAAGGCAGGUCUCUGGGCCACUACUGACGCUGAGAAGCCGAAAGCAUGGGGAGCGAACAGGG